rnacentral:misc_RNA from 1 species
AUGAUUGCGAAUCGUUGCCUUCAGUGCUGGCUGGCUUCGGCUUUGGCAAGUGCACGUUGGUGACUUUCAUCCAAUACCCUGUGCACCUUUGGCCUCUUGCUAGCUUCGGCCGGCAGAGGAUUUUACACAAACUCGAAUGUAAUGAAAUUUAUUGUGUGCGCAAGCACUAAUGUA